rnacentral:misc_RNA from 1 species
UACGUAGGAUGCGAGCGUUAAUCGGAAUUACUGGGCGUAAAGCGCGCGUAGGCGGCUAAGUAAGCCGGUUGUGAAAGCCCCGGGCUCAACAUGGGAAUGGCAUACGGAACUGUUUAGCUAGAGUGCAGAAGAGGAAGGUAGAAUUCCCGGUGUAGCGGUGAAAUGCGUAGAGAUCGGGAGGAAUACCAGUGGCGAAGGCGGCUUUCUGGACUGACACUGACACUGAGGUGCGAAAGCGUGGGUAGCAAACAGG